ACGUUUCACUAGUAGCUAGCUAGGUGUCAUAAAAACUCAACAACUAUCAACUACCGUAUGCUGUUAGAUACAUUUUUUGUAUGUGCUGAUAAAAUAUAUGUCCCAAUUAAGUUUUUUUUGUCUGUCUGAUUUUACUGGGCAAAGUGAAUUGGGUCGGUGGUUCAAGCGGAGUUUGACAGCUCGCUAGCUAACGUUAGCCUCGUUAGCACUUUUACAGAUGUAACAUUAACGUUACUUGUUGACAGUCUGGAUGGAACGAGUUUUAGAAGAAAAAAACUGCUUGUUAGCGAAUAUUCAACAUUAACUUUCUAUUUCUUUGUCAGAUAACAUUAUAAUUGUUACUAUUUAACAAAAAAUAUUCUCUUGACCCCCUUUUUAAGAUCAAUUUUAACUUGAUUUUCCAUUAUGAAUAUUAACGUUACAGGAACCGGUUUUAUGAUGAGAAAUGGCAUGAAAAAGAAGAGGGUAAAUAAGGUACCAUAUUGUAUAUAUUAUAAUACAGUAUAUGUGACAUGAUAAUACAUAUGCCCACCUUUGAUCAGGAAUUCUUUGAAAAGAAGAAAAUGCAGAGAAAGAUGAAAACCUUAGGAAUACCAACCUCAGUAUGUACCUGGCGACUUUAAUCAUAGUAAACCAGAUUGCUGCAAAGAAUAAAACAAUGAUCAGCCAAAGAUAACCCACAUCACUGAUGAUAAGGGAGGACCGAAGUCAAUGAAGGAGGGGCCCCUGAAGUUACCCAUGAGCCCUUGUUCAGCCAGCCUUUGUACAGUGUCCAGGCUGCUAGAAAGAGAAAGCACUGCAUUCCUGAUGGAUUCAAGUGUAGACAGAUACAAUCAGCUUUAUGGAAAUGAUGACUCAACCUUGUGACAUUUGGCUGGUUCAUUGAUCGUUGCUCUCAGCUCUCACCAGUGCUGGAAUCAAACAUGUCAGACACCAGUACGUCAGACUACCAGCAACACAUCCAGGAGAAGGGGCUCACCCUUCGUCAGUCUACUCCUCAGGGGCAGGCCUGCUCUCCCUCCAGCAGAGAGCACAGGUCCAGCCACAGCCACACUGCUCCCCUAGACCUCCCUGGGAUAUCUCCACCUCAGAGCAACCACAGCCAGGAGGGAGGAGAGAGUGUCCAGUACCAAGUGGGCCCAAACAGCAGCUGAACAUGACCCCCCUCAGUAUCCAAAGUAUGGUUUGGAGGCACAGAGCCUGAGUGAGUACUGAACUGAAAUAUCAAAAUAUGUGUUUUUACCUGAUAUGCAGCAAAUCAUUUUCUUUAUCCGUCAUACAUUAUUGAGAUUGACAACCCCCCUACACUGAUAUUCUUUUCUUCCUGAUUUCCAUUGCUGUAUCGAUUACAUCUGUGAAGAUAGACGUAUUAGUUGAUAUUUCCAUAACACUGACUAAUGGGGUAUGCGUCGGCCUACCCAGUGGCACAGAGACCAGAGACCAUGCCAUGCACAUAGUGGGGUUCUCUAUCAACCAAUCUGAGGGCAAAAGACCACACCUUGGAGUUCUCUCUCAAAAAUCAGUCAAUGGAGUUCUCCGUCAACCAAAUAGAGUGAAGAGCAGCACAAUGAAGCACUCUUCAGGGCCUGCAGUAAUGAGGAUUAUGGAAGUGAAGGUACUUGUGCAUCCCAAAUGGCACCCCAUGCCCUAUAUAGUGCACUACUUUUGAACAGGUCGCAUAGGGCUCUGUGGUGAGAAGUAUAGCACUUUGUAGGUAAUAAGGUACCAUUUGCUACGCAGGCACUGUCCAGUGUGCAUUAUGUAGGCUAUUAAUAAUUUCCCUUCACUAAAAACUAUGAUACAUGUUUUUGGAGAAAGUUUGCCAAUCUAUCUUUACUGACAUACAGUAGCAGUCAAAAGUUUGGACACACCUACUCAUUCCAUGGUUUUUCUUUAUUUUUACACUGUAGAAUAAUAGUGAAGACAUCAAAACUAUGAAAUAACACAUAUGUAAUCAUGUAGUAACCAAAAAAAGUGUUAAACAAAUAUUUGAGAUUCUUCAAAGGAGCCACCCUUUGCCUUGAUGACAGAGUUGCACACUCUUGGUAUUCUCUCAACCAGCUUCACCAUAUGUGUUAUUUCAUUGUCAAAUCAAAACUAUGUAUGAAAUAUUACAAAUAAAGAAAAAACCCUUGAAUGAGUAAGUGUGUCCAAGCUUUUGACUGGUACUGUAUGUAUGUCAAUUCAUCCCAGCAGCUAAUUUUAAGAACGGUAUGCCUAAGAUAUAUCUCAAGGAGGAAGUACCGACAACGUCUACCAGAGAUGUGAAUGAACCGCAGAGCCGAGGCCCUGAACCCGAUUUCUUGACUCAUGUAAUUACAGGCAGCAGCAUUACAUCAGGUGUCUAAUGCCACCUAGUGGCAGAAUUGGAAUAAUUUCAGAGCUGAACAGUGAUGAUAAGGCAGUACCAUUUAGCAGACGUUUUUAUCCAAAGCGACUGAGAGUCAUGCGUGCAAACAUUUGACAUACGGGUGAUCCUGGGAAUUGAACCCACUAUCUUAGCAUUGCAAGUACCAUGCUCUACCAACUGAGCCACGGGACCUGAUUAGGGUAUGAUAAUAGGUGAAGGUAAGGGGGAAAUGUGUUAAUAUGGUGAAGGCCAGCCUGUUUCGUUGUUACGUCUGUAUUCCAACAGGUUUCCAACUGCACUGAUGUCAGCUCAUGUACGUUUCCACACUACAUUCGAAAAUCACCUGCUGUUCACCACCUGUCUGACACUGAUAGGCCGAGUCCCAAGUGGCACACUAUUCCCUAUAUAGUGCCACAUGAAGAAUAAUACGGUGUCAUUUGGGACGCAGCCCCGGUGGAGACUUACCUGCAGACGUGUCUUCAGCUAUUCCUGCAAACACUCACCAUGGUCCUAAGGAAUGCUGUGAAUCAUCGCCCAGUUUCUCUCCCAAGAGGAGGUUGCUUUAGUUCCGACUCGGAUGAUGACACUUGAGAGGUAAAGCAGCUGCAGCAUAAAGGACAGGAAGAAGAAUAAGGAGGUACAGGACCCUGUUCAGAAUGUUCCUCUUAGAGGAGACCUUCCAGAUGAGAGAGAGAGAGAGGAGAAAAGGAGGUCACUGCUGAGAGCAUAGUUAACAGGCUUUCAGAGGAGGUUGAGACACUUCGGGAAAGAGCAGGCGUUCUGCUCAUGCUGAAGCAGAGGAAAAAAGAUUAGUGAAAAGGGAAGGAGAGGAGAGAGGUGGGGAGGACAGGAGAGGAGGGGAGGGGAGGUCAAAUCCCGACGUAUCCCUUUAAGAGUUGUGAACAACACUAGCAACUACAGUACAUCCCUUUACCACAGGAUCUGUUUCUGCAUAUUUAAACAUUUAUAACAAUGCCCUUGUGGAUUCUACAUUAAAACGAAAGCCAGACAUGGCAAGAUAAUCCGUUUAUUUAUUUUCCCCCGAUACAUAUUCAAGUGUUCAAGAUUCUCAUGAAUAUAUUUACUUUGAUAGAAUAUAAAUUCUGGCAAAACGUUUACAGCAACAAUAAUCAAAUGUAUACUAUACAGCGCUGGAUAAAUAUUUGUUUGAAAAUCUUCACUAGUUCUUCUUCAUAACCUAGAAUAGAAACACUGCACUUCAUUUUGUUUUCACAUAGAAAAAAUUGCACCCGUUCACCAUAAACACAUUGGAUGACCCCAUUUAGGAGUUAAAGCAAAGAAGGCAAUAUAAUAAUAACAGGAUGGGUUGGCAAGCGGUUGUGACCGUCUUCAAAAUCAAAAGUGCAUUCUAGGACCACAACACAUCAAAUAACCUGUUUGACACCAUCUCAUUUACAUGUUUUGGUACAUGACGACAGUGUUGUCGCCUCUGUGACCAGGAUGUGCAAUAAAGUGUUUCUCUAACGAACUAUCUGUGAUAAUAAAAGCAAAACGUUAUUCUGUCUUCCAGUGAACCUCCAGUUUAGUCCGAUUUAUAGUAUCCUCUCUUUUCUAAUCACAUUUCUAAUCAGAUACUCAUAUAUGGAUAAUAAAUACUCAAUAAUCCAAUAUUGAUACUGUUGUUCCAAUGAACUGGCAAAACACACCUAGUGAUAACUUGAAAUGCUGUCAUUUCAUUUCAGUCGAAAGAAAAUCCUAUUUGAAUUCACAAUAGUAGCUAUCUAUCUGGUUUUGUCACUGACAAUAAUACACAGACAUUAUUCUCAGCGACGUUAUGUUGACCACUUUCAACGAGAGUCUGCUACACACAAAUCUUGUACUCAAGUACUCAACUAAAAAUGCGUCACCUUACAUAGUUUAACGAUAUAUAAAAUGACAUGAGCAAGUACAGUACAGUACUCCUCGACCCUUUAGAACACGAGAACCCCAGCUCUUUCACGUGAAGAGUAAUGCAUUGCGAUUUGUACAUAAGGCUGUGGAGGAAGACACAACGUAAAAUGGAGAUGAAAUAAGACAUUCUUUCUGACAUUGUUUUCCCAAAGGGCAACUAUGUGUGUAACAUUAACUGACUAAACUGUCCAUUUCAAUGUAUGGGUAUUCUCUCUGAUGGUCUGAGUAACCCAAUGAAUAGUCUCGUCAACAUUUAUCAAUAAAAACAUUUGUGCAACUUCUGAAAUAAAAUUUUAAAAGGCUA